UUCAAUCAGCCAAUAGGAGCUCAAAUCCAGCCGGAAGAACCGCCCACUAUCCUGACGAUGCCCAGCGGUGUGUGUGUCUCUGUGUGUGUGUUAGGAUGUGUGUAUCUGUGUGUGUGUGUGUGUGUGUGCCUGGGGGUGUGUGUGUGUGUGUGUGUGUGUGUAAGUCCUCUGUUAAACCUGCUAUCAGUGCUGCAUCAGCAGCUUCUUUCAUCAUCACUGAUGUGAGACGGUUUUGAACCGUACAACACACACACACGCCCACACACACGUCUCUGGAGAAUCGUUUCCUCCAGCUGUUUUUGCUGAGGCGGCGUUUGGUGGCUCUGAGGUUAGCGGUGCGUUCUCGUUGUUGGAACCAGAGAUGCUAAAGCUACAUCGCUAACAGCAGCCAUGAAGCUUCUUCUUCUCUGGGUUCAUUUCUGCUUCUAAUUGAUCUGAUUGGACGCUGGAAAAGACUGUUGUUGUGUUCAAGUUGUGCUAAAAGGAGUUAGCCUAAACUGAAAUAGCAUCUUGAUGCUAACAUGUGACAGCUAGCGCUAAUGUCCACAUUUCUAAAGGAGCUCCAUGUUUCAGUUCUUCCUGAAACUCUUUGCUGAUGGUUGAUUAAAAAUGAUAAUUAUCUAAUUAUUCAUGAACUUGGCAGCAAAAACGUUUUGAAUUGAAAAUGUUGCUGACUUAGUUGAUAUAAUCACGUUUGGUGUUUGUGUUUUAAAAAGCAGCCUGGAAGCCCCGCCCCCUCCCUCAGUCGCCUAGCAACCAGCACAGCUGGGAUGGGUGCAAUUUGGAGGUGUGUGGGCUUCCUGUUAGCCGUCUGGCAACAGGAAGCUCAGCAGACUCAAGUCUCGAUCUCUGAAGUGCUGCACAUGCUCAGAACGGCCGUAGAGCCAGAGGAGAUCUUUGACCUUUGACCUUCUGGCCUCAGUCCGCUGUGCUGAAACUCAUGAUGUUUUGCAUGGCGUUUAAAUUCUGCUUAAUCUGAUCUAAAUGGAUUAAAGGCAAAAAGAGCAAACAGAUUAAAUAUGAGCAUAAAGUCGUCCCACACAGAGACGCUCUGAUUGGUUGACGAUCAUCCUGACCAAUCAUAGCAGCUCCCACCUGAUCCGCCUGUUCUCCUGCAGAUAAUCCCCGCUUCUUUUUCAUCUGCAUGUUUUGAAACAGCCUUUAUCUCAUUAGCUGAGCGGCGUUGAGGCGGAUGGUUGCGAGUGUGUAGGUGAGCAGGAAGCUGCCAGCCGCGGCGCAGCGCAGCCACCUUCACUUCUAAUCCGCCGCAGCAUCGUUACGGAGCGAACCGCCGCGCCGCGCGGGCGGCAUCACAACAAUCACAGCAACAAAACCGCUAUCAGCUGCUGAGAUGAGUUUAAUCCAGGGACUGAAAACACACGCAGCUCCAGAUGCUUUCACUGAAAAUGAAUCUGGAGAAUUUGACAGAUUUUAGGUUUUAAACUGAUGAAUCCAUGCAGACGGUAAAAAACAUUUUUACAUGUUUUCAGUGUGAAAAUGUGCCAACAGUAGAGAAGAAGACAAACAUGAAACAAUAUCUGAGGGUAUUAUCCUCUACCCAGAAUGCAUUGCUGUAGUUCCACAGUAAACAGUUUAUAAUCUGUCCGGUAAGUUUUCUGACCGAAGCUCUACUGCAGCCAAUCAGGCUAAAGCAGCAGAAGAGUUAGCAAAACUCAACAAUCCUGAAACCUGAAAGCUCAGUCACACAGAAUCACUUCCACAAGCAAAAUGAAUGUUCGUGACUAGCAUUUAGCGUUAGCCUCAGCCAAACACUGUGUUGGCAUGUAGUGGAACGAUGACUCACUGAUCCACGUUUAGGUAGCAGCUGAAGCUACAUGCUAACCUUCGCUACAUGUAGCCAUGACAUCACACUUAAUACUCAGCCGGGACAUUUUCCUGGUAGAACUGAGACUAAAAGCUCAGAAACAAAGCAGCUUGUGAGGAACCGGGUCGCUGGCCAUCUCGUGAGCUGCGGUCGGUUCUGUUGGGACCAGAGACCCAUGUGACGCUGUUUCAACUGAGCCAGAACCGGCCGGAGUCGGGUCCACAAAGAGCCGCUGGGCUUCAGGGUUCUGCUGCAGCACCGGCUGGCUCAAAGGUCCAAAACAGAACCAGCCCGACCGGACCAGAACCCACCACUUUGACCCAACAGAACCCGACUGGUUGCUGAGCAACAAAUUUAAAAGAAAAAUGAAGG